rnacentral:rRNA from 1 species
CUCAAAGGAAUUGACGGGGACCCGCACAAGCGGUGGAUUAUGUGGAUUAAUUCGAUGCAACGCGAAAAACCUUACCUACCCUUGACAUGUCAGAAAAUUUUCAGAGAUGAAUUUGUGCCCGAAAGGGAAUCUGAACACAGGUGCUGCAUGGCUGUCGUCAGCUCGUGUCGUGAGAUGUUGGGUUAAGUCCCGCAACGAGCGCAACCCUUGUCAUUAAUUGCCAUCGUUUAGUUGGGCACUUUAAUGAGACUGCCGGUGAUAAACCGGAGGAAGGUGGGGAUGACGUCAAGUCCUCAUGGCCCUUAUGGGUAGGGCUUCACACGUAAUACAAUGGCGCGUACAGAGGGUUGCCAACCCGCGAGGGGGAGCUAAUCUCAGAAAGCGCGUCGUAGUCCGGAUCGGAGUCUGCAACUCGACUCCGUGAAGUUGGAAUCGCUAGUAAUCGCGGAUCAGCAUGUCGCGGUGAAUACGUUCCCGGGUCUUGUACACACCGCCCGUCACACCAUGGGAGUGGGCUUCACCAGAAGCAGGUAGUCUAACCGCAGGAGGGCGCUGCCACGGUGAGGUCAGACUGGGUGAAGUCGUACAAGGUACCCGUAGGGAACUGCGGUGAUCACUCCUUUUAAGAUG